rnacentral:rRNA from 1 species
CUACGGGUCGCUGCAGUGGGGAAUAUUGGACAAUGGGGGAAACCCUGAUCCAGCAAUGCCGCGUGUGUGAAGAAGGCCUGCGGGUUGUAAAGCACUUUCGGUUGGGAGGACUGCUUCUAGCACUAAUAUUGUUGGAAGUUGACGUUACCUUCAGAAGAAGCACCGGCCAACUCCGUGCCAGCAGCCGCGGUAAUACGGAGGGUGCAAGCGUUAAUCGGAAUUACUGGGCGUAAAGCGCGCGUAGGCGGUUAGAUCAGUCGGGUGUGAAAGCCCCGGGCUUAACCUGGGAACUGCAUCCGAUACUGUCUAGCUUGAGUACAGGAGAGGAGAGUGGAAUUCCACAUGUAGCGGUGAAAUGCGUAGAUAUGUGGAGGAACACCAAUGGCGAAGGCAGCUCUCUGGCCUGAUACUGACGCCGAGGUGCGAAAGCGUGGGGAGCAAACAGGAUUAGAUACCCUCGUAGUC